CAAUAGCGUAUAUUAAAGUUGUUGCAGUUAAAAAGCUCGUAGUUGGAUUUCUGCUGAGGACGAUCGGUCCGCCCACUGGGUGAGUAUCUGGCUCGGCCUUGGCAUCUUCUUGGAGAACGUUGCUGCACUUGACUGUGUGGCGCGGUAUCCAGGACUUUUACUUUGAGGAAAUUAGAGUGUUUCAAGCAGGCGCACGCCUUGAAUACAUUAGCAUGGAAUAAUGAGAUAGGACCUUGGUUCUAUUUUGUUGGUUUCUAGAGCUGAGGUAAUGAUUAAUAGGGAUAGUUGGGGGCAUUCGUAUUUAACUGUCAGAGGAGAAAUUCUUGGAUUUGUUAAAGACGGACUACUGCGAAAGCAUUUGCCAAGGAUGUUUUCAUUGA
rnacentral:rRNA from 1 species